rnacentral:lncRNA from 1 species
GAUGGAGCCCAUAAGGAACAGGAAAUAAGCACUACUCUUACCCGCAACAUCAGGUCCAGCAGCUUCCGUGGAGAGCUAGCACUUGUCCUGCAGCUUACUGUGGAGAAGUGUUUAGACUCGGCACAUUUUUACCCCAGCAUCUUUAAACAUCCCCACAAUAUGUGAAAACUGCUGAAACUGUUACUCGCGAACUCCAGGUGGGAAGGGCUAAGCUCCCAGCCUUGAACAACCUAAACCUGUCAAUAUUUCAGAUCUUCACCUGAGUUUAGCAGAUGGGACCUGUCAUUACCAGCAAAGGAAAAGGACCGUGUUUUCCUUAUGAGCUCAUCAUCUACUCCUUUCGUGACAUCAUUGCAGAAUAUUUAGCUAAAUGUCUGUGAUGCAGAAUCUGGGAACCAAGAUCCUUGCAUGAUGAAAAUGGACACAACUCUGCAUCAGCCCUGGAAAACACCGAUUUGUGAGCUUACAGCACGAUAUGUGGGAAUACUGUCCUUCAUCUUUUACAUGCCGAGUGCUGAGGCCUCGUCAGACAAAACUCCCCAUCAGAAAACAGCAGGGACUUUUACCUGGUGAUCUGCAGAAGCAGGCAGCAGCC